rnacentral:rRNA from 1 species
UAAUGCAUCGGAACAUGUCCAUUCGGUGGGGAUAGCCCGGCGAAAGCCGGAUUAAUACCGCAUACGCCCUGAGGGGGAAAGCGGGGGACUUCGCAAGAGGCCUCGCGCGAAUGGGUUGGCCGAUGUCCGAUUAGCUAGUUGGUGGGGUAAAGGCUUACCAAGGCAACGAUCUGUAGCUGGUCUGAGAGGACGACCAGCCACACUGGGACUGAGACACGGCCCAG